rnacentral:rRNA from 1 species
GACGAACGCUGGCGGCGUGCCUAAUACAUGCAAGUUGAGCGCUGAAGGUUGGUACUUGUACCAACUGGAUGAGCAGCGAACGGGUGAGUAACGCGUGGGGAAUCUGCCUUUGAGCGGGGGACAACAUUUGGAAACGAAUGCUAAUACCGCAUAAAAACUUUAAACACAAGUUUUAAGUUUGAAAGAUGCAAUUGCCUCACUCAAAGAUGAUCCCGCGUUGUAUUAGCUAGUUGGUGAGGUAAAGGCUCACCAAGGCGAUGAUACAUAGCCGACCUGAGAGGGUGAUCGGCCACAUUGGGACUGAGACACGGCCCAAACUCCUACGGGAGGCAGCAGUAGGGAAUCUUCGGCAAUGGACGAAAGUCUGACCGAGCAACGCCGCGUGAGUGAAGAAGGGUUUCGGAUCGUAAAACUCUGUUGGUAGAGAAGAACGUUGGUGAGAGUGGAAAGCUCAUCAAGUGACGGUAACUACCCAGAAAGGGACGGCUAACUACGUG